UUGACCUACGGGGCGCAGCAGUGAGGAAUAUUGGUCAAUGGGCGGGAGCCUGAACCAGCCAAGUCGCGUGAGGGAAGACGGUCGUAUGGAUUGUAAAGCUCUUUAGGCGGGGAGCAAUGCCGGGCACGCGUGCCCGGAGGGAGAGUACCCGCCGAAUAAGCAUCGGCUAACUCCGUGCCAGCAGCCGCGGUAAUACGGAGGAUGCGAGCGUUAUCCGGAUUUGUUGGGGUUAAAGGGUGCGUAGGCGGAUUUUUAAGUCAGCGGUAAAAUGUCCGGGCUAAACCCGGGCCGGCCGUUG
rnacentral:rRNA from 1 species